rnacentral:rRNA from 1 species
UACAGAGGUCCCGAGCGUUGCUCGGAUUGACUGGGCGUAAAGGGCGCGUAGGCGGUUCGUACAGUCAGACGUGAAAUUCCUGGGCUCAACCUGGGGGCUGCGUUUGAUACGUGCGGACUUGAGUGCGGAAGAGGGUCGUGGAAUUCCCAGUGUAGAGGUGAAAUUCGUAGAUAUUGGGAAGAACACCGGUGGCGAAGGCGGCGACCUGGUCCGAUACUGACGCUGAGGCGCGAAAGCGUGGGGAGCAAACAGG